ACAGAAAGUUAGCACUGUUUCAGAAAAAAAGACUUCUCUGAGAGUAAAAGAACAAUCAUCUGGAUUUAAGUUUACAAACUCUUCUGAACACAUCAUACGAAAGGAAAAGGCAUCAUGGAUAGCUCCACAACAAAAUCCAUUGGGAUAGCCGUUGCAUUUGGGAUUUUAGGAUUGUUCGUGCUAAUCUGUGUAGUGCAAAUCUGCUGCAAGAAAAAGUGCUGCAAGCGUAAAAAGCCUUCAGUGAAGGAUAAAAUUUUACAAAAAGUCGGGAUAAAGAAAUCCACGCCUCCAUUUUCAGUUAGCAGGAUCGUCGACAAGAAAUAACCGUCAUCACCGCACCUAUUAUUCUCUCGAUACCUGUAAAUAGUGUAUAUACAGCCUAGAUUCACAACACUUAUUUACACAUUAUGAUGUGAAAGUAUGCGUUGGUGUAUUUAUUUUCUUCAGUUCUUUGAAAAGUCUGAAUCACGUUUUUGAGGUGAAGAUGUUAUUAGCAAUGGGGAUGUUGAUGAUUCAUCGCUGGUUAAGAUAACUUUCCCACAGAUAUGAAAAAGCACAGCACACUUUUAUUGCUAUCGAGAUCGAUUAUCUUGUCUUUUACUCUCAAUGCCUGACUCUGUUUCUGUCUAUCUUGUUUUUCAAUCUCAUCACAAAAAUACACAGGACAAUUCUUCCUCUCAAGCUAAAUCGUUACCACAUAAAUGUGAGUUUAAAGGCCAACACUUAGACUGAAGAAAAAAACUGUUGCUUCAGUUCCAGUACAUGGAUCAUUUCUUAAUCGUGGAGGAAGCAAUGUCAGAUGAUUUAAUUCCUGUUAAGUAAUAUUAUGUGUGAGAUGUAAUGUUGAUAAGGACUCAUCAAGUAUGUGGUUUAUAAAUAGAUGUACUAUAAUAUUUAGAAAUUUCUCUGUG
rnacentral:lncRNA from 1 species